rnacentral:rRNA from 1 species
UCUAACAUGUGCGCGAGUCAGUGGGUGCUACGAAACCUAGGGGCGAAGUGAAAGCAAAGGCCGUUCCUUGCGUUCGGCUUGGGUAGGAUCCUCUGUCGCACGCGGCGGAGGCGCACUACCGGCCCGUCUCGGCCGCAACGUCGGCGAGGCGGAGCAAGAGCGUACACGUUGGGACCCGAAAGAUGGUGAACUAUGCCCGAGUAGGACGAAGCCAGAGGAAACUCUGGUGGAGGUCCGCAGCGAUUCUGACGUGCAAAUCGAUCGUCAAACUUGGGUAUAGGGGCGAAAGACUAAUCG